CGUGUAGGUGGCUAAUUAAGUCAGGUGUGAAAUCCUUCCGCUUAACGGGAGAAGUGCACUUGAAGCUGCUUAGCUAGAGUACGGGAGAGGAAGGUGGAAUUCCUGGUGUAGAGGUGAAAUUCAUAGAUAUCGGGAAGAACACCGGUGGCGAAGGCGGCCUUCUGGCCCGAUACUGACGCUGAGACGCGAAAGCGUGGGGAGCAAACAGGAUUAGAUACCCUGGUAGUCCACGCCGUAAACGUUGGGCACUAGGUGUGGGAGGUUUUUAUUCCUUCUUUGCCGAAGCUAACGCAUUAAGUGCCCCGCCUGGGGAGUACGGUCGCAAGGCUAAA
rnacentral:rRNA from 1 species